rnacentral:rRNA from 1 species
UAGUCCACGCUGUAAACGAUGAUCACUCGUUGUUUGCGAUAUAUUGUAAGCGACUGAGCGAAAGCAUUAAGUGAUCCACCUGGGGAGUACGUUCGCAAGAAUGAAGCUCAAAGGAAUUGACGGGGGCCCGCACAAGCGGAGGAACAUGUGGUUUAAUUCGAUGAUACGCGAGGAACCUUACCUGGGUUUAAAUGUAGGUUGCAUGAGUGGGAAACUACUCUUUCCUUCGGGACUACUUACAAGGUGCUGCAUGGUUGUCGUCAGCUCGUGCCGUGAGGUGUCGGGUUAAGUCCCAUAACGAGCGCAACCCCUAUCGUUAGUUGCCAGCAAGUAAAGUUGGGGACUCUAACGAGACUGCCGGUGUAAACCGAGAGGAAGGUGGGGAUGACGUCAAAUCAGCACGGCCCUUAUAUCCAGGGCUACACACGUGUUACAAUGGUCGAUACAAAGAGCAGCCACUUGGUGACAAGGAGCUAAUCUCUAAAGUCGAUCACAGUUCGGAUCGAAGUCUGCAA